GAUGAACGCUGGCGGCGUGCCUAAUACAUGCAAGUCGAGCGAACAGACGAGGAGCUUGCUCCUCUGACGUUAGCGGCGGACGGGUGAGUAACACGUGGAUAACCUACCUAUAAGACUGGGAUAACUUCGGGAAACCGGAGCUAAUACCGGAUAAUAUAUUGAACCGCAUGGUUCAAUAGUGAAAGACGGUUUUGCUGUCACUUAUAGAUGGAUCCGCGCCGCAUUAGCUAGUUGGUAAGGUAACGGCUUACCAAGGCGACGAUGCGUAGCCGACCUGAGAGGGUGACCGGCCACACUGGAACUGAGACACGGUCCAGACUCCUACGGGGGGCAGCAGGAGGGAAUCUGCCGCAAUGGGCGAAAGCCUGACGGAGCAACGCCGCGGGAGUGAUGAAGUUCUUCGGAUCGUAAAACUCUGUUAUUAGGGAAGAACAAAUGUGUAAGUAACUAUGCACGUCUUGACGGUACCUAAUCAGAAAGCCACGGCUAACUAC
rnacentral:rRNA from 1 species